UACGGGGGGGGCAAGCGUUGUUCGGAAUUACUGGGCGUAAAGCGCGCGUAGGCGGUCCUUUAAGUCUGAUGUGAAAGCCCACGGCUCAACCGUGGAGGGUCAUUGGAAACUGGGGGACUUGAGUGCAGAAGAGGAGAGUGGAAUUCCACGUGUAGCGGUGAAAUGCGUAGAGAUGUGGAGGAACACCAGUGGCGAAGGCGACUCUCUGGUCUGUAACUGACGCUGAGGCGCGAAAGCGUGGGGAGCAAACAGG
rnacentral:rRNA from 1 species